UACGUAGGGGGCAAGCGUUGUCCGGAUUUAUUGGGCGUAAAGAGCGUGUAGGCGGUUCGGUAGGUCCGUUGUGAAAACUCGAGGCUCAACCUCGAGACGCCGAUGGAAACCCUCGAACUAGAGUCCGGAAGAGGAGAGUGGAAUUCCUGGUGUAGCGGUGAAAUGCGCAGAUAUCAGGGAGAACACCCGUGGCUAAGGCGGCUCUCUAGUACGGUACUGACGCUGAGACGCGAAAGCGUGGGGAGCGAACAGG
rnacentral:rRNA from 1 species